AGUGAACGCUGGCGGUAGGCCUAACACAUGCAAGUCGAACGGCAGCACAGUAAGAGCCUGCUCUUACGGGUGGCGAGUGGCGGACGGGUGAGGAAUACAUCGGAAUCUACUUUUUCGUGGGGGAUAACGUAGGGAAACUUACGCUAAUACCGCAUACGACCUACGGGUGAAAGCAGGGGAUCUUCGGACCUUGCGCGAUUGAAUGAGCCGAUGUCGGAUUAGCUAGUUGGCGGGGUAAAGGCCCACCAAGGUGACGAUCCGUAGCUGGUCUGAGAGGAUGAUCAGCCACACUGGAACUGAGACACGGUCCAGACUCCUACGGGAGGCAGCAGUGGGGAAUAUUGGACAAUGGGCGCAAGCCUGAUCCAGCCAUACCGCGUGGGUGAAGAAGGCCUUCGGGUUGUAAAGCCCUUUUGUUGGGAAAGAAAAGCAGCAGGUUAAUACCCCGCUGUUCUGACGGUACCCAAAGAAUAAGCACCGGCUAACUUCGUG
rnacentral:rRNA from 1 species